UACAGAGGUCCCGAGCGUUGUUCGGAUUUAUUGGGCGUAAAGGGUGCGUAGGCGGCGGCGUAAGUUGGGUGUGAAAUCCCGGGGCUUAACCUCGGAAUUGCAUUCAAUACUGCUUCGCUUGAGUACUGGAGAGGAGGCUGGAAUUUACGGUGUAGCAGUGAAAUGCGUAGAUAUCGUAAGGAAGGCCGGUGGCGAAAGCGAGCCUCUGGACAGUUACUGACGCUGAUGCACGAAGGCCAGGGGAGCAAACGGG
rnacentral:rRNA from 1 species